UACGUAGGGGGCGAGCGUUGUCCGGAUUUAUUGGGCGUAAAGAGCUCGUAGGCGGUUCGAUAAGUCGGAUGUGAAAUCUCCACGCUCAGCGUGGAGGGGCCAUUCGAUACUGUCGUGACUCGAGUCCGGUAGGGGAGUGUGGAAUUCCCGGUGUAGCGGUGAAAUGCGCAGAGAUCGGGAGGAACACCCGUAGCGAAGGCGGCACUCUGGGCCGGUACUGACGCUGAGAGACGAAAGCUAGGGGAGCGAAUGGG
rnacentral:rRNA from 1 species